UGGGGAAUAUUGCACAAUGGGCGCAAGCCUGAUGCAGCCAUGCCGCGUGUAUGAAGAAGGCCUUCGGGUUGUAAAGUACUUUCAGCGGGGAGGAAGGUGUUGAGGUUAAUAACCUCAGCAAUUGACGUUACCCGCAGAAGAAGCACCGGCUAACUCCGUGCCAGCAGCCGCGGGAAUACGGAGGGUGCAAGCGUUAAUCGGAAUUACUGGGCGUAAAGCGCACGCAGGCGGUCUGUCAAGUCGGAUGUGAAAUCCCCGGGCUCAACCUGGGAACUGCAUUCGAAACUGGCAGGCUAGAGUCUUGUAGAGGGGGGUAGAAUUCCAGGUGUAGCGGUGAAAUGCGUAGAGAUCUGGAGGAAUACCGGUGGCGAAGGCGGCCCCCUGGACAAAGACUGACGCUCAGGUGCGAAAGCGUGGGGAGCAAACA
rnacentral:rRNA from 1 species